rnacentral:misc_RNA from 1 species
UGGAAAUAUGGGAGGUUUGCAAUCCUGAGUGUGCUGGUUUGAUGAGAUUUUGGUAAUUAGUCAUCACUAGCAAUGCUAAUUUUGAAAACUUCCUGAUGCAUUAAUAUAGGAUUCUGGUAGAUCGACAAAUUUAAGUUGAGUAGUAGUGCUUUUUGCCAAUGGAAGUGCUCACUGAAGGUGGAAAUAAAGAAAGCGUGCCUUUUUACAGCCGUGUGCUUGGAACAAGGUGCACGCCUAGGUGCAUAAGGCACUAGGAUUAGAAGCGCACCUUUAAUAACUAUGCGAAGCUCUUCUCUAUCUAUCCUUUCUCCAUCUGCAAACACACAUCAAUCUAUCAUUUGGCAUCAUAGUACUAUCCAAAACCCAAAUUCCAUCCUCAUAACUCAUAAAUUCAACCCAAAAAAUAAUAACCACAAACUCAAAUUCAAACCACAAAUUUGAUGUGAGGGAAAGAAAUAUAGAAACAAAAGGACCUUGGUUUGUGAAAGCAUUUACUGUUUUUUCUUUUUCAACCAAAAUGAGCAUUGGUUGGUUUUUGUUCAUGUGUUUCAUUGCUGGAAUGAAGCUUGAAUGCAACUGAGGGAGGUUUGCUAAAAGAUUUAUCUUAAAUUCAAAGCAAUUUAUUUAUUUAUUGUUAUUGGGCCUUGUUAUGGAUUUUUUUCCUCUAUUCAUUCAAAUUUAAGUGAUAUCAUUGAAAAGAUUUAGAAUUACUAAAUCCAUUUUUGCUAUUCUACCUUUGUUUUCCUAGUUACGUACUGCAUUUAAUUUUUUGUUAAUCUCUUAGAACUUAAAUAUGCUCGACCUUUCACAUUGGUGUAAUGUUGGCGUACAAUAUUCUGUUCAAACCAUGUCAGUUGUGAUUAUCUUAAGUUUUCUUCUAUAUGCUACCUCCAGCUUCUGACUAAUAUGUUCAUCUCGUAUUUUUUUUUUUCACUUAACACUUA